UAACAUGGGUAACCUACCCUCAGGUGGGGAAUAACUUCCCGAAAGGGAUGCUAAUGCCGACGAUACCCACCGGCCUCAUAAGAGGCUGUUGGAAAGCCGAACCGAGGGUUCGGCGCCUAAGGAUGGGCUCAUGUCCUAUCAGCUUGUUGGCGGGGUAAUGGCCCACCAAGGCUGCGACGGGUAGCUGGUCUGAGAGGACGACCAGCCACACUGGCACUGCGACACGGGCCAG
rnacentral:rRNA from 1 species